rnacentral:rRNA from 1 species
CGGCUCACCCGGGGAGGGUCAUUGGAAACUGGGGAACUUGAGUGCAGAAGAGGAGAGUGGAAUUCCACGUGUAGCGGUGAAAUGCGUAGAGAUGUGGAGGAACACCAGUGGCGAAGGCGACUCUCUGGUCUGUAACUGACGCUGAGGAGCGAAAGCGUGGGGAGCGAACAGGAUUAGAUACCCUGGUAGUCCACGCCGUAAACGAUGAGUGCUAAGUGUUAGGGGGUUUCCGCCCCUUAGUGCUGCAGCUAACGCAUUAAGCACUCCGCCUGGGGAGUACGGUCGCAAGACUGAAACUCAAAGGAAUUGACGGGGGCCCGCACAAGCGGUGGAGCAUGUGGUUUAAUUCGAAGCAACGCGAAGAACCUUACCAGGUCUUGACAUCCUCUGACAAUCCUAGAGAUAGGACGUCCCCUUCGGGGGCAGAGUGACAGGUGGUGCAUGGUUGUCGUCAGCUCGUGUCGUGAGAUGUUGGGUUAAGUCCCGCAACGAGCGCAACCCUUGAUCUUAGUUGCCAGCAUUCAGUUGGGCACUCUAAGGUGACUGCCGGUGACAAACCGGAGGAAGGUGGGGAUGACGUCAAAUCAUCAUGCCCCUUAUGACCUGGGCUACACACGUGCUACAAUGGACAGAACAAAUGGCAGCGAAACCGCGAGGUUAAGCCAAUCCCACAAAUCUGUUCUCAGUUCGGAUCGCAGUCUGCAACUCGACUGCGUGAAGGCGGAUCAGCAUG